GGGGAAGUCCGGUCGAAGUCCGGCGCUGACCCGCAACGGUAGGCCGCGCGACGCGCGCGGCGAGCCCGAUCACCC
rnacentral:ncRNA from 2 species